GACAGAGGGUGCAAACGUUGUUCGGAAUUACUGGGCGUAAAGCGUGUGUAGGCGGUCUUGAAAGUCGGAUGUGAAAGCCCCAGGCUCAACCUGGGAAGUGCACCCGGAACUCCAAGACUUGAGUAUCGGAGAGGUUGGUGGAAUUCUCGGUGUAGAGGUGAAAUUCGUAGAUAUCGAGAGGAACACCGGUGGCGAAGGCGGCCAACUGGACGAAUACUGACGCUGAGACACGAAAGCGUGGGGAGCGAACAGG
rnacentral:rRNA from 1 species